rnacentral:rRNA from 1 species
GACGAACGCUGGCGGCGUGCUUAACACAUGCAAGUCGAGCGGAGCGGCGAACGGGUGAGUAACGCGUGAGUAACUGCCCCCCUCUCUGGGAUAACAGUUGGAAACGGCUGCUAAUACCGGAUAGUGGGGGAUGACUCGCGUCCUAUCAGCUUGUUGGUGGGGUAGUGGCCUACCAAGGCGACGACGGGUAGCCGGCCUGAGAGGGCGACCGGCCAACUUUGGCUGAGAUACUGGCCAAACUCCUACGGGAAGCAGGAGUGGGGACUAUUGCACAAUUGGGGAAACCCUGAUGCAGCAACGCCGCGUGCGGGAUGACGGCCUUCGGGUUGUAAACCGCUUUCAGCCAUGACGAGGUGGUGGCAUGAGAGGCACCGACUAACUACAUGCCAGAAGCCGAGGUAAUUC